rnacentral:rRNA from 1 species
AUUGAACGCUGGCGGCAGGCCUAACACAUGCAAGUCGAGCGAGCGGCGGACGGGUGAGUAAUGUAUGGGGACUGCCCGAUAGAGGGGGAUAACUACUGGCAACGGUAGCUAAUACCGCAUACUAUCGGAUAACCCAUAUGGGAUUAGCUAGUAGGUGAGGUAAUGGCUCACCUAGGCGACGAUCCCUAGCUGGUCUGAGAGGAUGAUCAGCCAGAGUGUGACUGAGACACGGCCCAUACGCCAACGGAGGCAGCGGUGGGGAAUAUUGCACAAUGGGCGCAAGCCUGAUGCAGCCAUGCGGCGUAUAUGAAGAAGGCCCGAGGGUUGUAAAGUACUUUCAGUCGGGAGGCGUUACCGACAGAAGAAGCACCGGCUAACUCCGUGCCAGCAGCCGCGGUAAUUC